UACGUAGGGGGCAAGCGUUGUCCGGAAUCAUUGGGCGUAAAGCGCGCGUAGGCGGCCCGGUAAGUCCGCUCUGAAAGUCCAGGGCUCAACCCUGGAAAGCGGGUGGAUACUGCCGGGCUAGAAUCCGGAAGAGGCGAGUGGAAUUCCACGUGUAGCGGUGAAAUGCGUAGAGAUGUGGAGGAACACCAGUGGCGAAGGCGACUCUUUGGUCUGUAACUGACGCUGAGGCGCGAAAGCGUGGGGAGCAAACAGG
rnacentral:rRNA from 1 species